CUACGGGCGUCUAUUUUGAGUAUUUUGUGUGCUGUGCUUACUGAUUUCAGUGCUUUCAUUUCAGUUAUUGUUUUGUGGUAUUAUUAUUACUGAAGCACUAAUAAUUCAUGUCAGUAAAGCUUUCUGGUCUAUGAGAUAGCAAGAUCAGGCGGCGGCUGCAGUUGUGAGUAAAACAAGCUCUCACGCCGCUAAUUUCAAAUGAACUUGCAAUGAAAUUUAAUCGGUUGGGCUUGAAGAAAAAGGAGUAAUUUUUAAAAUUAAUAUUUGGAUUCACCCUGCAUAAAGUACAAUUUUCACAUUAAAAUGGUUGUUGGGUUAAUUCAAGAAAACGUUUUCCCUAUGUUUUAAAGCUUGUUUUCAUGGUGAUAGAUGGGGAUAAGAAGGCAAACACAUAACAAACAUCAAAAGAAUGUGAGAAUUAACUGCUUGGCUGAAAAGAGCUACUUUCACCAAAGAAUGACAGAAAGCAUGUCAAAUAACAGUUAUUCUUUUAGAGUUUAGAUCCAGAUAUAGUAUAUUAUUCUAUAUUUAAGAUACUUUAGGUUAGGUUGUUCUAUAUUUUUGCUAUAUUAUAAAGCAUCAA